rnacentral:rRNA from 1 species
GACGAACGCUGGCGGCGUGCCUAAUACAUGCAAGUCGAACGAGAGCGACCGGUGCUUGCACUGGUCAAUCUAGUGGCGAACGGGUGAGUAACACGUGGGUAACCUGCCCAUCAGAGGGGGAUAACAUCCGGAAACGGAUGCUAAAACCGCAUAGGUCUUCGAACCGCAUGGUUUGAAGAGGAAAAGAGGCGCAAGCUUCUGCUGAUGGAUGGACCCGCGGUGCAUUAGCUAGUUGGUGAGGUAACGGCUCACCAAGGCCGUGAUGCAUAGCCGACCUUAGAGGGUGAUCGGCCACAUUGGGACUGAGACACGGCCCAAACUCCUACGGGAGGCAGCAGUAGGGAAUCUUCCGCAAUGGACGCAAGUCUGACGGAGCAACGCCGCGUGAGUGAAGAAGGUUUUCGGAUCGUAAAACUCUGUUGUUAGAGAAGAACAAGUGCUAGAGUAACUGUUAGCGCCUUGACGGUAUCUAACCAGAAAGCCACGGCUAACUACGUG